GGUAUGCGGUUCUCACACAGAGCCCACAGUUUGCUGAGACAGUACAUGUGCCGCUACAUGGUACUGGCAGUUUAGUUACUGCUGUCCACUUCCAAGAAGGCAGACCCCGAACAUGUGGCAAUGCACUGCUGAAGAGUUCUUCAGUAUAUACAGAAAGGAAGAGAGUGUCAUGGGUGAGACCAAGUAAGCAUAAUUUUAAGAUAGGUUAGAUAGAAAAUUAAUUACAGGAGUUCCUACUGUGGCUCAGCAGGUUAAGGACCCUUCUUUUUGACUUGUCUCUUCAAAGAUGCAGGUUUGACCCCUGGCCUUUCUCAGUGGGUUAAGGAUCCAGCAUUUCCACAAGGUGCAGUGUAGGUUGCAGAUGCAGCUUAGGUGUGUUGUCGCCAUAGCUGUGGUAUAGGCUGCAGCAGCAGCUUCGAUUGAACCCCUGGCCUGGGAACUUCCAUAUGCCACAAAUGUGGCCAUAAAAAGAAAAAAAAAUUAAUUACAAUGAGCCCUAGAGGAAAUAUAAAGUAUAUAAAUACAGCCUAAAAUGUGGUUUUGGAAGUUGCCAUUUGGAAGCAGCAGCAGCUUCGAUUGGACCCCUAGCCUGGGAACCUCCAUAUGCCGCAGGUGGGGCCCUAAAAAGCAAAAACAAAAUAAUAAAAUAAAAUGUGGUUUCAUUUAAUGAACUGAGUAUAAACUUAAGUAUAGCUAUAUUGAACAUAGUUGACCUAAGAAGCAGUGAGAGAGCCUCACAAAGGUUUACCUUCAUUUUUUAAGACUGAUUUGGAAAUCUUAAGUUAUUAGCAUUAUAUCAAGACCCCAUCUCUUGGACUUGGUUGUCUCCUCAGUCAAAUAACCCAUUUAAUUUGAAGAAUGAAAUUUCUUGUUCCAAACACAUAUGUUUCUGGAUCUCUGUGUCCAUCUUUUGUUUAAGUGUGUGUGUGUGUGUGUGUGUGUGUGUGUGAUGCUGACAUAGCAGAUGCCCCAUGGUUUAGUUUAGUUUUCAGAUUGGUGCCAGUGGCUUAUUAGGUCCAGAUAAUCAAGACAGGGGUGCCAGUUUAGUUCAGGGUUAUAUGUAGGAAGUCAAGAGAAACAUCCUAAUAUUCUUUUGUGAAUUAAGUGUAAACUAUCUCAGGAGGCUACUAAGUCCCAUGGUAAUGUGAAGAAAUGUAGAAGAAGAAUGGGGUUUUCUUUCUCUUCAGCAUACACAUUCCUGAGUGUUCUAGUUUCAGCAUUUAGGGUUGAGAGGAGGAGGAAGACUGGCCUUCCUCUAUUUCUACUCCUUUUUCCUGCCCUCUUCUGUUUUUGAUCUCUAGCCAUACCUCUGUGUCUUACCAAUUUUUACCUUAUUUUUGUUUUAGAGAAGUUACCUGUCCUCCCUCCCCACUUUCCAAUCUUGAUCUGUGUCCUCCUUUCCCUAAGGAUUUGCUUUCCAUGCAUCUCUCUUCUGUUUAGUGACUAUAUCCUUCUUUACUGCAGUGACUAUAUCCUUCCAGUGAAAACUACCAAACAGAUCUUCUUCUGGUUGUAACAGGAACUAUAUUUAUCCUUCUACCUUAAACAACUAGAAAACUGAACAGAAUAUACAGAAUUACUCUGUUAGGCAUUGGAAUACAGGCCAUGAAAGACAUUGAUAUUUGAGAAGAAAAACAAUUGAGGAAGUCCUGCAAUCACCCCAACUUUUUGCCUGUUGUGACAUCCUGGACCACAGAGCAGGGAGGAGGAUCCCAGGCAGUGCCCAGCAGUCUCACUAGAUGGAGGCAAAGAUGCAAGUAGGAGGUAGAGGUAGCUGGAGUGGGGAGAGCUAGCAGAAACAGAACUGCAGAGAUCUGUAUAGGGGUCUCCUUCUGUCUUUGUUGAGCAUCAAAAUGUAAAUUCAUAGGGUGAAACUCCACAAGGUUGGGUUAAGAGUGGCUGGGGAGUCGUGAGUUCUAGUGUUGUAGGAACCUUCCCAAGGCUGGGGACUGUUCAGGCUUCUUCCAGUCACAGGGGAAAUUCUCCCUGAUCACUUGAGUACUCAGUAGAGACUCCAGAAAGACUGCAACUUAACAGAAGUUUUAAGGAAGAGACUAUCUGAUGUAACAGAUCCUAAAAAUAAGCCUCAAAAGGAUAAAACUGAACCACAGUUGACUUUACUGCUUGCCAGAACAAAGCUCAACACUCUUUAAAGUGAGAUAGUAAAAUCCAUAUAUUCAAUAACACAGAUCUGUAAUAUCCUGCAUCCUACUCAUUGGUAGUCAUGACAAGAAGCAGGAAUACAUUGUCUUUUAUGGGAGACAAUAAGUCGAUAGAAACAAAUAAAGAAAGUAUAGCAUGAUGAAAUUAGCAGACAGGGACUUAAAAACCACUAUUAUAAAUAAGUUUAUGGGAGUUCUCAUUGUGGCUCAGUGGGUUAAGGACCCAGUGUUGUCUCUGUGAGGAUACAGGUUUGAUCCCUGGCCUUUCUCAGUGGGUUAAGGAUCUGGCAUUGCCACAAGCUGUGUCAUAGGUCACAGAUGUGGCUCCCAUCUGGUGUUGCUGUGGCUGUGACAUAGGCCACAGCUCCUCCUUUUCCAGAGCCUUACCCACUCUGGCUGUCACACCGCUAGAUCCAUAGUCCAGACCCAGUUACUUCUGCAGAGGACUAAUUGUUCUCUGUGUGGGCUCCCAUAGUAUUAAUCACCUUCCAUUCUAAUGAGCUGCAAAUUUGUCUUCUCUGGGGAACUGUGAGCUCUCUUCCUAUUUGCCUCUGUCACCCUAGGACCUCACACAGGGCCUGCUCCUCAGUGGGAGCUCCGUCAACACUCACCAUGAUGGGACAGAUGGGGACUCCACAUCCAAGGCCUUAAUCCAUAGAGGUGUGCACACUCCCAGGUCUCCCAGGCUUUUCAAAAAGGGAAUGGUGGCAACCUGAAAAAGGAUUAUGGUUUCAAAGUAGUAUAAGAAAAGGAAAAGAUGAGAAAUUCCCUUCGAGCCACAUGAAAACAAAUCCCACUGGUAUCCAUGAGGAUGCGGGUUCCAUCCCUGGCCCGGCUGAGUGGGUCUGGGAUGCAGCGUUGUUGUGAGCUGUGGUGUAGGUCGCAAUGGUUCCCCUGUUGCUGUGGCUGUGGUGUAGGCCUGGAAACCUCCAAUUUGCCCCCUAGCCUGGGAACCCCCAUAUGCCUC
rnacentral:lncRNA from 1 species